GCAGCGAGCUGAGCAGCAAGCUGAGCGCGGCGUGGGGAGCACGAACGGCGCGGGGGACUCCGGCGGCGCCGGGUUCCCGCGAUUCCUGCUUGCGGCUCAGCGAAGCAGCCUCCGGCGGUGACGAACACAGCGACAGCGUCCGGGAGAUGCGGCGGGUCUCCCCGGGGACCGGAGUCCUGGCCUCUUUCUCAGCCAUAUAUAAUCUCAUACUUUGAUGAAUAAUUCCUUCAGCUCAAUGGAUAAGAGAAACCAGGCAAAACUUCACCCUCAAAAGAUGAGGAAGCUGAAGCAGGAGGAGCAGUGAACAUCCCGGGAUACUUCUCUCCCCAGCAACCAUAGUGACAUUUUAAAAUCAAGAGACACAAUGCCACCUCACCCCAGUAAGAAUGGCUGCUAUCAUGAAAUCAACCAAUAACAAAUGCUGAUGGGGCUGUGGGGAAAGAGGAAGCCUGCUCCACUGCCGGUGGGAGUGUAGACUGGUGCAACCACUGUGGAAAUCAGUAUGGAGAUACCUCAAAGAACUAGGAC
rnacentral:lncRNA from 1 species